UAUUUCACCAGUGACAAUCAGCUCCUCCUGGGAGCUUAUUAAAAACUACAGCAAAUGUGUUCCUUUUUGUUCCAGUCAUCGGUCAACGUGACAAAUAUACUUGAUGGAUUUUGUUCAUAACUACAAGAAUGUGGAGGAGUUGAGAAAGACUCAUGUCCCUUUGGGAAUUCAAAAAUCUCAGGAUAACUGUACAUCAGUCCAGGAGCAAAACUCGACCUCUGCUCAUCAUCCCUACCCAUUCCCUGGAGAUAUUGAAGACCACAUGAAAAGGUGGUGCCAUACUUUAGCAAUGCCUCUGUAGAGAUUCUCCUGAAGUCCGCCAGGAGAGAAGGUUUGAGCUCAAUAUACUAUUUGUCAGCCUUCUCAGCUCUGUCUGUGGAAAUCCUUCAAUUAAUCUGAAACUACUACCCAGCUCCGAACACACAUUAACUCCUUUUGGUUUAUUGUUGUCAUUGUCAACAAGCUUCAACAAUUCUCUGUUUCCAAUCUAUUAAACUGAAAAUCCUUGCUUGAAUUUAUAAAGGCCACCCUACCUCUGCAGCCUCCUUCAGUCUCCAGCCCUUAGUGGUCUCCCAACUGUGGCCUUCUUUGUCCAUUUGUUUUAUAGCUGUUGAUUUUUAUGGUCAUUCUUAUAAACUUUUUCCAGCAUGGCUUCCCUGUCGAGAAAAGCAGACCAGAGAGAACACAGUUUCUAUUCUAUAUAAGGAAAAUGGAAACCACUCAGACUUACUAAGAUAAUAGGCAUAUUUGAGUGACACACAACAAAAUGUGUUUUCUGUAACCAGAAUGAUUUAUUCUAGCUGGCUAACAACAAGGGGUUUUCUUUCUUUCAGCAUGAGAGCACACAUUCUGCAACUCAUGCAAUGUGUUCCUCCAAAGCUGUGGGGAACUUAAUUGUAGUACAUGUAUCUUUCAAUCCCCUAGUGUUGCCAGCAUCUGAUAUUGUCAUGGUUGCCCACCUGAGCCAUCUGUAUAACCUGGAUUGAUUCACAUCCACCAACCAUUCUCACUGGUAUUAGCCUUAGCUACUGACACCAAGCGGGGAAGGAUGCCACAGUAAGUCUUCAGCAAAAGAUAGUUUCAAUCUUGAUAAAUAUUAAAUGUUUAUUGUGUAGUUAGCUACAUGACAUCUAAGGUACACAAUUAUCUCUUGUGAGACAUCAUGCUUGAUUUAAGAGUAAGUACAAAUUAUUUCUACUAAAACAGCCCAACAGAUACACUGGACACUGAUCCAAUAUUUGUUAGCUCCUCCCAGGGAUAGUCCUUUGCAUCCCAAUGGCAGGGCUAAACGGAUUGUGUCAGUUAACCCUUUCAGUUACUUAUUCAACAAUAGUCAUUUGAGCAGACUGAUGAUGCCUCUGUAGAGGUUAAUGAGAUUGUAAGAGUUAGAAUUUCUAUGCUAAUAGUAACAUUAAAAGAGAAGAAUUCUCCAGAUGAACCUUGAACACCAUAAUGGCCAAGAACAGUUCAGAAAGAUCUUGGGAACCAUAACGAAUGAAUUUGUUAGGUGACAAAGGAGGAAGAUAGAAUAAACAGAUAUGAGUUGAAGCAAGCAGUACCAGGGACUGCCAGGCUAGGGCAAAAAAGGAAUUGGGUGAAUUAAGAUAUGUAAUGAAGUCUACAUACCUAGACUAGAGACAUCUGUUUAUUGUAUGAUCAUAAGGUUGCAAUUUGAAUAAUGGAGUGUAAUUAAAGGUGUAUAUAAGUGAUGAAUUUCUUGUAUUCAGCAGAGGUCAUUCUUUGGACAAGAUUAUUGUCUCCCUGUUUUCAUAAUAAAUGAUU